UAGCUGUUGCCAUAGCAACAAUGAGAGCAAGGGCAGGUUCCCUGGCCCUUGGAAGAGGGACAGAGGCUGGGACAGACAGGGUUGUGGCCAUGGUGCCCUCUUGGUGGCUUUAAGAAGGUUCUGAGCCUGGAGAAGAAAACCAAGAAUUGGAAGGUGGAUACUGGUAGAUCUUGUCCCAGUUGGAGAUGGAGGAAGAUCUCACAGAACCCCCCAAAAGGUUCAGAGGGUCUACCUCUGUGGAGUCAAGAGAAAGCCUGCCUUUGGAGGCUUAGUGUAAUGGAAAAAUCAGGGAACCUGAAAUUAGAAGACAUAAAUUCAAGCCCCAUCUCAGCUAUUUAAUUGUCGAGACCUUGGACAAUCUAUUGUUGUGUGACCUUGGGCAAGCUCUUGCUUUGAUUCAGGAGUAAGGGGAGAGCCAGCUCUAGGGUCUCUUUCAGCUCCAACAUUUCCCCACAUUUGGGGAUUCCCCUCAAAAACCCUUCAGCCAAGAAGAAGCUGGUGGGAGCUGAGUGCAGAUCAAAGCAGGCCAUCUUUCCUUGAUUUCCUUCAUGCGUGUUUUAUUGCAUGUGUGAUAUGUGACUUUUGUCAUGUUAUAGGGAAUAUGGAAAUAUGUAUUGCCCCCAAACCCUGCGAUAACUUGGAUCAGACUAUUGACUGUCUAGGGGGAAGGCAGAAAAUCAGAAUCGAAAAAUGUCAGGUGCCAAAAAUUGUACGGUUAUUGGGGAUGGGAAAAGAGCAUUUAUUUUAAAAUAAAUCAUUAAUUAGUUAAUCAUUAAUUAAAAAAAGAAAAGAAAA